GUGGGCGUAGCUCAGUUGGUAGAGCCCCGGAUUGUGAUUCCGGUUGUGUCGUGGGUUCGAGUCCCAUCGUCCACC
rfam:Coxiella-like endosymbiont strain CRt, complete genome.